rnacentral:rRNA from 1 species
GAGAGUUAAACAGUACGUGAAAUUGUUGAAAGGGAAACGAUUGAAGUCAGUCAUACCAACGGGAAAUCAACCUCUUGAGUUUGGUCUCGUGGGUUUCGAAGAGUUUUAAAAGCCUUCGGAUUUUCGAGAUUGGGCUCUUCUGGUGUACUUUCUCGUACGGUUAGUCAACAUCGGUUUUGAAUGUCAUAAAAUGACUGGAGGAAUGUGGCUUCGAUCUCGUAUUGAAGUGUUAUAGCCUUUGGUAGAUGUGAUGUUCGAGACCGAGGAUUGCAACGGAUACCCUUCUGGGCUAUUCGUCUGAUCUCUGAAACGUUGCCUUGAUGUCGAAAGCUUGCUUAUGAUGUUAGGGUAUUACGGUCAAAAGGUUAGAACGGAUUAAAUUCGUUAAGGAUGUUGACGUAAUGACUUUAAACGA